rnacentral:rRNA from 1 species
GACGAACGCUGGCGGCGUGCUUAACACAUGCAAGUCGAACGGAGUGGCGAACGGGUGAGUAACACGUGGGUGAACUGCCCUGCACUUCGGGAUAAGCCUGGGAAACUGGGUCUAAUACCGGAUAGUGUGGGAUGGGCCCGCGGCCUAUCAGCUUGUUGGUGGGGUAAUGGCCUACCAAUGCGGCGACGGAUAGCCGGCCUGAGCGGGUGGACGGCCACAUUGUGACUGAGGCAGGGCCCAGACUCCUACGGGCGGCAGCAGUGGGGAAUAUUGUACAAUGGGGGCAAGCCUGCUGCAGAGGCGCCGCGUGGGUGAUGAGGGGCUUCUAGUUGUGAACUUGUAUCUCCGUCAACGCGGUAGAUGGAGAAGAAGCACCGGCUAACUACGUGCCAGCAGCCGCGGUAAUAC